rnacentral:rRNA from 1 species
GACGAACGCUGGCGGCGUGCUUAACACAUGCAAGUCGAACGGAAAGGCCCUGCUUUUGUGGGGUGCUCGAGUGGCGAACGGGUGAGUAACACGUGAGUAACCUGCCCUUGACUUUGGGAUAACUUCAGGAAACUGGGGCUAAUACCGGAUAGGAGCUCCUGCUGCAUGGUGGGGGUUGGAAAGUUUCGGCGGUUGGGGAUGGACUCGCGGCUUAUCAGCUUGUUGGUGGGGUAGUGGCUUACCAAGGCUUUGACGGGUAGCCGGCCUGAGAGGGUGACCGGCCACAUUGGGACUGAGAUACGGGCCAGACUCCUACGGGAGGCAGCAGUGAGGAAUAUUGCACAAUGGGCGGAAGCCUGAUGCAGCAACGCCGCGUGCGGGAUGACGGCCUUCGGGUUGUAAACCGCUUUCGACUGUGACGCAGCGUGAGUGACGGUAAUGGGUACAGAAGCACCGGCUAACUACGUG